AUGCUCAAGCUCAAGAUUUUAGGACUUGCGGCAAUCGAGCAUGCAAGGAAGCGCCAAGCCUCCAGAAUUACUUGGCUACCAGCUGGGGACGCGCCAACAGCCUUCUUCCAAGCGAAGAUCAAUGCUAGGAGACGGAAAGGUUUCAUCCACACGCUCCAUGGACCGUCCAGUGUAGCCACCACGCAGGAGGACAAGGAAAGUUUGAUCUACAACCAUUUCUCCUCCAUGCUGGGUAUGGCAGCGCACCGCAACACUACCAUCGGCUGGCAUUCUCUCGCCAUGGCCAGGCUGCAAGGCGGAGGGCUUGACAACCCUUUCACGGAGAGCGAGGUAUGGCAUGUAAUCAAAGCAUCACCAGCAGAUCGUGCGUCGGGCUCGGACGGUUUCUCUGGCCUCUUCUUCCGGUCAUGCUGGGCAACAAUCAAAAACGACAUCAUGGCAGCGUUCAACCAGUUUUACAACUUAGUAGGCAGCAAUUUUGGAGCCCUAAAUACUGCGGUGGUUGCAUUACUGCCAAAGAAGGAUGGAGCGGCGUCAAUCAACGACUACGGGUCAAUCAGCCUCAUCCACUCCAUAGCAAAGUUGAUAUCCAAAGUACUCUCCCUCAGGCUCUCCAAUGUGAUCCACAUGCUCAUCUCACCAGCACAGUCGGCCUUUCUUCGGACAAAAUGCAUACACGAUAGUUUUCUAUACGUUCAAAACUGCAUCAAGGCCCUCCACCGCUGGAAAACACCCGCUCUGCUUCUCAAGUUGGAUGUAGCUAAGGCUUUCGAUAAUGUGUCAUGGGAGUACAUCCUGGAGAUGCUGCAAUAA
rnacentral:rRNA from 1 species